rnacentral:lncRNA from 1 species
UAAUUUAACAAAGCAGCCUUGUCUUAUUUCAAUGAACUAGCAUACAUUCACACGUAUAUAUGACAACUCAACUAUAUACAUGAUAAAAACAAAAGCUUUAGGCAAAACAUAAAACUCAAACUUACAAAAUUUCAAAGUUCGUAAGUGAAGUGAACAACCAAAUGAAUCAACAAAGCUAAUUACAGUAACACUAAACUGAUGCUCACGGGUUAGCUCGGACAAUGCAUCUUCUACGAAUCCUACUUUGUCCAUCAAUGCAAAUUGGGUUCCACACGGAAACUCAUCUUCAGAAUCAUCACUGUUACUGAAGAAAUAAGCAGGUAAAUGUACUCAUUAUGUACAGAAUUCAAAAAUCUUCAUUACCUAAAUGUACUCAUAGUGUGCAAUUGAACACCAUGAGGUUUCAAAAAUCUUCAUUACCUAUAUGUGUAAUUGAACACCCUGCCUGAGCUUUCAAAAAUCUUCAUUACCUAUAUGUGUAAGAUGUCUCGUUUCUCAAUCGAAGAAGCUAAAUUAUACAAAUACGAGGCAAAACCCUAACCCCAAAGUGAAUCGGAGUGCAAAUAGUUCGAAUUGUAAGAGCUGUAAUCGGCGAUGGCUUUUCCUCCUGUGCGUAGCGGAGAGAUGAUUUUGGACCUAGGUGCGAAAGAUCCGAGUG